UUACGGUCGUGCGGAGAAAGCAUAUGCACAAGCAGCUCAACUGCUUGCAGUCUCCAGCAGAUGAAACCAUCGGUAGAAACUCCGCCUCACGCGUGAAGCUGUAAAUGGGAACUUCUACUUUCGACAGCUUCUAGCGGGAAGAGAUUUCUGUCUAAACCCCGGGAAUAUAAUAGAAACGCAGAUUUUCAACGCUGGAGCUCAGAUGCAAAACUACGUCUAUUUGGUUGGCGAUGCGAAAACUCGCGAGGCUGUGGUGGUCGAUCCGGCAUGGGACGUCAAAGGAAUCAAAGCCUUCGCAGAUGCGGAACACAUAAAACUUGUCGGUGCUGUAGCUACUCAUUAUCACUUUGAUCAUACUGGAGGCCCCCCUCCGCCUCCUUUCGAUCGACUUAUGAUCAAGCUGCCGGGAGUGCGUCAACUGGCAGUCGAAGA